UUCCGGUUGAUCCUGCCGGAGGUCACUGCUAUUGGGAUUCGACUAAGCCAUGCGAGUCGAGAGGGUUCGGCCCUCGGCUGACGGCUCAGUAACACGUGGAUAAUCUGCCCUUAGGUGGAGGAUAAUCUCGGGAAACUGAGGAUAAUACUCCAUAGAUCUAGGAUGCUGGAAUGCAUCUAGAUUGAAAGCUCCGGCGCCUAAGGAUGAGUCUGCGGACUAUCAGGUUGUAGUCAGGGUAAAGACCUGACUAGCCUACGACGGAUACGGGUUGUGAGAGCAAUAACCCGGAGACGAUAUCUGAGACACGAUAUCGGGCCCUACGGGGCGCAGCAGGCGCGAAAACUUCACACUGUGCGAAAGCGCGAUGAGGGAAUCCCAAGUGUUUGCUCGUAAGAGUAAACUGUUUCUUUGUUUAAAACGCAGAGAGAGUAAGGGCUGGGUAAGACGGGUGCCAGCCGCCGCGGUAAUACCUGCAGCUCGAGUGGUGAUCAUUAUUAUUGGGCCUAAAACGUCCGUAGCCGGUUUAGUAAAUGCCUGGGUAAAUCGUGUAGCUUAACUAUACGACUUCCGGGUAGACUGCUAAACUUGAGACCGGGAGAGGCUAGAGGUACUCCUGGGGUAGAGGUGAAAUUCUGUAAUCCUAGGGGGACCACCAGUGGCGAAGGCGUCUAGCUAGAACGGGUCUGACGGUGAGGGACGAAGCCCUGGGGCACAAACCGGAUUAGAUACCCGGGUAGUCCAGGGUGUAAACGCUGCUUGCUUGAUGUUAGUUGGGCUCCGAGCCCAACUAGUGUCGGAGAGAAGUUGUUAAGCAAGCUGCCUGGGAAGUACGGUCGCAAGGCUGAAACUUAAAGGAAUUGGCGGGGGAGCACAGCAACGGGUGGAGCGUGCGGUUUAAUUGGAUUCAACGCCGGGAA
rnacentral:rRNA from 1 species